UAGGGAAUCUUCGGCAAUGGACGAAAGUCUGACCGAGCAACGCCGCGUGAGUGAAGAAGGUUUUCGGAUCGUAAAACUCUGUUGUUAGAGAAGAACAAGGACGUUAGUAACUGAACGUCCCCUGACGGUAUCUAACCAGAAAGCCACGGCUAACUACGUGCCAGCAGCCGCGGUAAUACGUAGGUGGCAAGCGUUGUCCGGAUUUAUUGGGCGUAAAGCGAGCGCAGGCGGUUUCUUAAGUCUGAUGUGAAAGCCCCCGGCUCAACCGGGGAGGGUCAGUGGAAACUGGGAGACUUGAGUGCAGAAGAGGAGAGUGGAAUUCCAUGUGUAGCGGUGAAAUGCGUAGAUAUAUGGGGGAACACCAGUGGCGAAGGCGGCUCUCUGGUCUGUAACUGACGCUGAGGCUCGAAAGCGUGGGGAGCAAACAGG
rnacentral:rRNA from 1 species